AUUGAACGCUAGCGGGAUGCUUUACACAUGCAAGUCGAACGGCAGCGCGGACUUCGGUCUGGCGGCGAGUGGCGAACGGGUGAGUAAUGUAUCGGAGCGUGCCCAGUAGCGGGGGAUAACUACGCGAAAGCGUAGCUAAUACCGCAUACGCCCUACGGGGGAAAGCAGGGGAUCGUAAGACUUUGCACUAUUGGGGCGGCCGAUAUCGGAUUAGCUAGUUGGUGAGGUAACGGCUCACCAAGGCGACGAUCCGUAGCUGGUUUGAGAGGACGACCAGCCACACUGGGACUGAGACACGGCCCAGACUCCUACGGGAGGCAGCAGUGGGGAAUUUUGGACAAUGGGGGCAACCCUGAUCCAGCCAUCCCGCGUGUGCGAUGAAGGCCUUCGGGUUGUAAAGCACUUUUGGCAGGAAAGAAACGUCGCGGGCUAAUACCCCGUGGAACUGACGGUACCUGCAGAAUAAGCACCGGCUAACUACGUG
rnacentral:rRNA from 1 species